UACAGAGGGUGCGAGCGUUUAAUCGGAAUUACUGGGCGUAAAGCGUGCGUAGACGGUUAUUUAAGUCGGGUGUGAAAGCCCCGGGCUCAACCUGGGAAUUGCAUUCGAGACUGAAUAGCUAGGGUACGGUAGAGGGAAGUGGAAUUUCCGGUGUAGCGGUGAAAUGCGUAGAUAUCGGAAGGAACAUCAGUGGCGAAAGCGACUUCCUGGACCAGUACCGACGUCAGGCACGAAAGCGUGGGGAGCAAACAGG
rnacentral:rRNA from 1 species